rfam:Eucalyptus grandis cultivar BRASTZ1 unplaced genomic scaffold scaffold_9, whole genome shotgun sequence.
AAGAUAAGAGACUUUCUGAUUAGCCAAGGAGACUGCCUGAAACCAACACGAACUACUCAAACACGUAGUUCAGGUCGAAUAGAUCGAGUUCGGCACAGGCAAGUCAUCCUUGGCUACCAAAUGAGACUCUUGUCU